AUAUAUUUGUGUGGUGGGGCGGUGCCCCACUCCCAUGCCAGAGGGGUUACAACAGGCCAGAGCGGCUGUACAAGGUGGCAGCCAAUCAGGGAGGGCCUGUUAGAGAGUUAAUCAGGGCCAGUAUUACAGCCAGCCAAUCAGGGCUAGGCUAGGCCCUAUAUAAAGGCUGCCCAGGAAGAGAGCAGGCAUUCUCUCCCAGGCCUUCAGAGGUGAAGGUCUGUCUCCAGCGUGAGGAGACUAGCACCAGGGACAGCGCAGCGCAGGUGGGGGGAGCAGAAGGGAAAUCCCCCCCGGUACCUGCCGGGCUGCGGGCCCUGAGAAAAAGGGCCUAACCGGUGCAAAGGGGCCAAAGGAGAAACGGCCCAGGGAGAGAGAUGGACAAAGGGAGAGAAGGAGGGCAGGCAGGAAGGCUGCCAUCAAAGGGUCCCUGAAUCGAGACCCAGAGUAGAGGGAAGGCCUGGGUCCCCCCCUUGCACUUCCACCUGGCCGUUCAGAGUGGCCAUCACGGACUGCACCAGACCCCUGCCAAAAGGAGUUAAACUUUGGGGUGUGAUUGGCCAUUGUGGCUGGGGCGAAGAGAAGGACUGCUGAUAACACCAAACCCCCGGAAGGGGGUGAGAUCGAAGCAAUGGGCACUGCCGGAGGGCAUUGUCCUGAAGAGGACGCCGCAAGCUGGGAGCAAUGUGGGUCAAGACGCCAAUCUAGGGUGAGACAUGGACAGGACACCACCAGCACAGGGCGCUCCACAUGAACUGAGCUACUUCCCAGAGUGAACAGCAGGAGGCGCUGCAGUGGUCUACCGGGGGAAACCCCUGCCUCUGGAAGAUGGACCUGGUUAUGUCGGAGUGAAAGGACCACUCCUGGUGAGAAGAGAAAGAUCUGAUGAGGUGAUCUGCCAGCGUGUUUCGGGUUCGGGGAAAGUGAGAAGUCUUUGAGGUGGAUGGAAUGCUCCACACAGAAAUUCCACAAAUGAAUAGCCUCUUGACACAGAAUGGACGAACGUGCUCCUCCUUGCCUAUUGAUGUAAAACAUAGCUAUGUUAUCUUACCGGUGAAGUGGAACGGUGUGAGAAACAUGUGACACCGGAAGAGCACUUUGCACCGAUGUAGAG